UGAAAGUUGGGGGUGCCCGAAAGGGAAUUGGAACACAGGUGCUGCAUGGCUGUCGUCAGCUCGUGUCGUGAGAUGUUGGGUUAAGUCCCGCAACGAGCGCAACCCUUGUCAUUAGUUGCUACAUUCAGUUGGGCACUCUAAUGAGACUGCCGGUGACAAACCGGAGGAAGGUGGGGAUGACGUCAAGUCCUCAUGGCCCUUAUGGGUAGGGCUUCACACGUCAUACAAUGGUCGGUACAGAGGGCUGCCAACCCGCGAGGGGGAGCUAAUCCCAGAAAGCCGAUCGUAGUCCGGAUUGCACUCUGCAACUCGAGUGCAUGAAGUC
rnacentral:rRNA from 1 species